AUUCCAGCUCCAAGAGCGUAUAUUAAAGUUGUUGCAGUUAAAAAGCUCGUAGUUGGAUUUCUGGUCUAAUGCGCCUGGCCCGCUGCCGUUAGGUAUGUGAGUGCCGGUGCGCGUUUACCAUCCUUCCAGAGAACACUUCUACCAUUUAUUUGGACGGAUGUUGUCUUCUGGAUCUUUUACUUUGAAAAAAUUAGAGUGUUUAAAGCAGGCCUUUGCUGUGAAUACAUUAGCAUGGAAUAAUAAUCUAGGACUUCGUUUCUAUUUUGUUGGUUUCUAGUACUGAAGUAAUGAUUAAUAGGGACAGUUGGGGGCAUUAGUAUUCCAUUGUCAGAGGUGAAAUUCUUGGAUUUAUGAAAGACUAACUUCUGCGAAAGCAUCUGCCAAGGAUGUUUUCAUUG
rnacentral:rRNA from 1 species